UACUACUUGGGGAGUACCUGUAGUCCCAGCUACUCAGGAGUCUGAGGCAGGAGGACUGCUUCAGCCCAGGAGAUCCAGGCCAGCCUGGGAAACAUAGCGAGACCCUGUCUCAA
rnacentral:sRNA from 1 species